UACGGAGGGGGCUAGCGUUGUUCGGAAUUAUUGGGCGUAAAGCGCACGUAGGCGGUUUGUUAAGUCGGAUGUGAAAUCCCUCGGCUCAACUGAGGAAGUGCAUCCGAAACUGGCAAGCUUGAGUACGAAAGAGGAUCGCGGAAUUCCCGGUGUAGAGGUGAAAUUCGUAGAUAUUCGGAAGAACACCAGUGGCGAAGGCGGCUCACUGGACUGGUAUUGACGCUGAGGUGCGAAAGCGUGGGGAGCAAACAGG
rnacentral:rRNA from 1 species